rnacentral:rRNA from 1 species
CAAUAGCGUAUAUUGAAGUUGUUGCGGUUAAAAAGCUCGUAGUUGGAUCUCGGCAGGCAGGGGGUGGUUCGCUCUUAGCGCUACUGCCCCAUUUGCCUGUGUGAUUGGCGGAGGUUUCGGGGUGCUCUUCGUUGAGUGACCCGGGGCGCCGUCAGGUUUACUUUGAAAAAAUUAGAGUGCUCAAAGCAGGCUUUUCACGCUUGAAUAUUCGUGCAUGGAAUAAUGGAAUAGGAACUCGUUUCUAUUUUGUUGGUUUUCGGAAAUCGAGUUAAUGAUUAAUAGGGACAAUUGGGGGCAUUAGUAUUCAGACGACAGAGGUGAAAUUCUUGGACCGUCUGAAGACUAACUACUGCGAAAGCAUUUGCCAAGAGUGUUUUCAUUAA